CAUUGACUUUACUAUUGGACUCAAUCAAUCUGUCAACCACAAGGGACAUCAAUCUCUCUUGAGAAACCUCAUAAGAGUCAGGACUCAGCUUCAAGUUGUUUCUCAGAAGAAGAACAUUACCUAUGGCUAAGAGAGGGCAAGGUCCAUUCUCGUUCUGGAGAAUGAUAGGCGUGCUUCGUCCAAGGAACUGAAUCGAUUUCGUCUUGUACGUCGUGACCUCCUCCCCCUCCUCCUUAGUUUCGUUAACAGCAACAUCCUCCUGCUGGAUCGCUUCCUGAAUCGUCUGUGUCGGAGAGUCUGAAGCGGUGGUCGCCAUUUUGAUGAUCGAAGAAAUUUUCUGAUCCAAAUCGAGAGAGAGAGAGAGAGCGUGCGAGGAAGAGGAAGAAGAGGAAGAUGAUUUAAUUUAUAUUUCGAGGAAGAACUUUUCUGGAAGAGGGUUUAACAUAACCAAACCGGUACGUUCCAAACCAAAAUUCGGUAUGAUUUAAAUGCUAUUGGUUAUCAACGCGAAGUUAUUUGAAGAACAACAGUGUAACAGACCAAUUGGUUCGGUUUCGUUUGGGUAUCUUUAGUUGUGAGUAUGACUAUGGUUAGACCAUUACGAUUUGGUUUAACCACUUUGGGAAACCGUAUCUUUUCGGGGUGAGGUCAAAUUAAAAUUGUUAUCAUAUACACCGUCAUUUCCUUAUAACACAAUUAUCAACAACAAAAUAAUCCCACUAAUACAAUCCACUAAAUCAUGUAAUAUCCCUUAGUAUUAAUUGCAAAGUGAAUUUAAGAGAUUAUUAUCCUUGCCAUCAUUUUCAGAAAGAAAUCUUCUAUACUAAUAAGGUUGACUAGAAAAAUUUCGCAAUGCACCAUGUCAUCUCUCCUAUUCCCAUUUUACGACACGUGUCGAGCAGAGAGACAAUCUUUUCUUUUGCUUCUAACUCGCGGAUCGUAUAAAUGAAAAAAUCAAAAAAUGGAAAUUUUAAUUUAUCUAAAUAAAUUAAUGUUGUUUUAACUUUGUCUUGAGUAAUUAUCAAAACAUAUAUGAAAACAUAUUUAAUACAUGACUAACGCAUGGAAUCCAUAAAUUUUUCAGCUUUAAAAAUGGUUACUCAAACCGAUUAUCUUUAUGUAAUAAUAUAAUUCCAUUUACGUUAUCCAUGCGCAAGCUCCUUUUGUAUAACCUAUAUCUAUAUAUUUAAAAUACACAACCAUAUACAUUUCGUAUUUCUAUUUUCAUUAUCAAAUUAAAAAAAAUUCCCCUCAUUCUAUCUCACAAAAACCAAAACAGAACCUAUGUAUAUAAAAAUUCCCCUCAUUCCAUCUCAAAUUAAAAAUGGUUACUCAAUCUACAUGCAACUAGUGUGACAAGAUAGACGAUGUUGUGGCAGGUAGGGAUGUCAAUUGGGUUGUCCAUGUCCAAAUAGGUUUGUCCAGAUAGACAAUCUCAUUUAUUGAACAUAAAUUGUCAAAGUCCAAAUAAACACUGUCCAAAUAAGACCAAUCCCAAAUAGGACCAUAACCAGAUAGAUUACCCAUUGGAUCCAAAAAUAUGAGUUUUAUAUUUUUGUUAGACAAAUAAGUUUUUAGUGAUUUUACCAAAAAUGUAACUUCAUAGUUUUGUCAAAAAAAUAUGAUUUUACGGUUUGACAAAAAACAUUAUUUUAAUAAAUUUUACGGUUUUGGGGAAAAAAACAUAAUUUACAAAUUUGGCGGAAAAACUUUUUUUUUUGCUUGGCGAGAAAGCGUGAUUUUGUGGCUUUGGCGAGAAAACAUGAUUUGCGCUUUUGGCAGGAAACAUGAUUUUACAAAUUUGGCGGGGAAAGAAUUUUUUGGUUUUGACAAGAAAACGUAAAUUUGCGGUUUUGACGAGAAAACAUGAUUUUGCGGUUUUGGCGGGAAACGUAAUUUUGCAGUUUUAGCGAGAAAACAUGAUUUUACAAAUUCGGGGGAAGUUUUUUGUUUUAACGAUUUUGGCAGGAAAUCGUGAUUUUGCGCUUUUGGUGGAAAACAUGAUUUUGAAGUUUUGGCGGAAAAAAUGAUUUUGCGAUUUUGGCAGAAAAACGUUUUGCGGUUUUGGCAGAAAAACGUUUUGCGGCUUUGGCAGUAAAAUGUGAUUUAUCCUAAAAAUUAAAAAAACCCUAGAUUUUUUUUGUGUUUAUUUGACUGCCCAUAUCCAAAUGGGCUAAGCUCGUGUAAUUUGGGUUUAAUGGACUUUUGUCCAAUUGGACAAUUUUAAUAUUUGGGUAUAAUAUGGUAAGAGCAUUUGGAUUUAGUCUUGGCUAACGCAUGGUCACUAAACCUAUUUGACAUCCCUAGUGACAUGUGCUCUAAUAGAACAUGGAUGGUGGUGGUUAAGUGGUUUUCGUAGCCGACACCUUAUUAUCACUCUCCUUAGAGAUUGUCUUCCUGAUUCAACAGCUAUCAGAUCCUUUGAAGUAGAUGAUUUGUACAUUUGGCAGUUGGGAGCAAAUGUACCAACUGAUAGAUUCUCAAAAACUGACAUUUGGGACUACCUAAAUCUCCAUCAGCCUCCUGUCUAUUGGUACUCUCAAGUUUGGUUUCAGGAAAGAAUAUCGAAUCAUGCUUUUAUUACCUAGUUAUAAUGGGAGGCAUAGGUUAACAACCAGAGAUAGAAUGCACAGAUGGGGCGUUGCAGUGCCCUCAUAUUGUAUCCUACGUGGCUCAAAUGAUGAAAUUCAUCAACAUUUUUCUUUAAUGCGACUUCAGCUCGAGUGUUUGGUCUUUCUUCCUCACUAAGGUGCACCUUUCACCUCCAUUUUUGUUCCAUGAUUGUGUAAGAUGAAUGAAACACCCUACUUCUGAUAAUUAUAUUAACGUCAUUAUUCGCCUCUGGCAUCAAGCUGCUGUGUACGGUGUAAGUGCAAAGAUGAAACCACAAUAAAGUAAUGUAGAAGACUAAUCAAAAGACAAAGAAAUUAGGAAACAUCUUUUGCAGUAUUAGAAAUCGCCUAAACAAUAUAUUACAAGACUUGCUUAAUCAGCUUUAUACAAUAUAUGUUAAGACCAUAACAACUGCUACUGAAAUAUUCCUAAUUUACCUCAUCGUCAAUACUUCAACACCACCCAAUAACAUUCUUAAGGGAUUCUCACCCUUUCUCUAUAAUAAUCAGCCCCAUUGUCUUAUGAAAUACAAACAAUUCCAUGAAAAUUUUAUAGUGAUCUCUACAUUUCCAAAACCUUUGUCCAAGGAAGCAAGUAUAUGGAUAACUUCCAUUUUAAUAAGUACACUUUUUUUCUUGGAAAUGCACUUAUUCCUUCUUUUUUUUCCUAGACAUAAAAUUGUUCUUCAAGUUUAUCUUCUUGCCUUUUCUCCACGGUCUAAAAUUGCUCCUCAAAUUUAUCUCACGCCUGCUCAUCAUCUAGCAUCCACAUGGUCUCCACCACUCUGCAUGCCUCCUGGUGCACUCUCUGACGCACAUUGCAUCAGAAACUACUUCAGCGACUUCGUCAAGACAUAAACCUCAGUUUAUCCUUCUCCCGCUCAACAUCUUACAUCGACAUGGUACCCACCAGUCCGCAUGCAUUAUGUAUUAAUAACUAAUGCAUCCAUCAUCAGUGACUUUAUCGUCUAGUUAGUCAAAGAAGACUAUUGACAUCUACAAGCUCUGGCUUGCAUCUUCAUACGGUGUGUGGAAGGAGAGAAACUCUAGAAUACACACAAGCGCGACUCAAUCCCCUGAGGCUAUCAUUGAAGAAAUCAAGUCAACAAUCAAGCUUCACAUGGAUCCCCUAUCUCAUAAACACGUACAUCAUGUAAUACUGCUUCAACUCCUUCAGUUUCUUACUUAGGUACUUGGUUGUCUUUAUUUCUUGCCCCUACUCAUACAUGAGUCUUUUGGGUCUUUUUGAUAUCCUUAUUUUGGUGGGCUUGUGGCCCUUAGGCUUCUUUUUUGGAAGGCCUAACAGAUUAGAGUAGUGUUGUCUGUGUUGGGCCUAUUUUAUAAUUCCCCUUGGGUCAGUAUUUAAAUGAAAUUUAAAAAUGAGUCAAUUGCACAGAAAAUACUAGAUAAUAAUUAAAUUUACAAGGAUGGGAAAAUUGGAGAGAGAGAAAAGAAAAAAAUGAAACUAUUACCCCUAUAGAAAGAUAAAGAGGGUAAUUUAGUCUAUAAAUUUGUUUAGCCGGCUAAUAAAUCUAUGUUUUUGUUUUCAUCUUCCUUGAUUUAUUUCGGGUAAUGUUAACUUAAAUACAAUUCAUAGUUGAUAUGUAAAUAAGCACGGUUAAAAUGUGAUUAUUUUAUAUCCUUCAUAAAUUAGCAUAGUUAUAUUCCAGUUUAUCCGAAUAUAUUAUAUAUUAUCUGGUUAUUAUCUUAGUGGUCGGCUAACUUAAAUAACUAUAUGUAGAUUAUUAUUGUUAGUAGGAUUUUUUGAUCAGUAGCCGAUUAUCACUAUAGACUCAAACUCAGAUAAGUUAACUAGUAUUAUAUCAAUUAUCCGGAUAUCAUUAUUGUUGGUUGGAUUUUUCGAUCAAUGGUCAUCGACUAAAGGUAUAAUAACUUUCACUAAGAGCCAUCAGAACCUUGAAAGUAACCUCAUCACAUUUAGAGGUUUUGGGGAAAAAUUUAUGAAAAAUCUGCUUAUGUGAAAGUUUUGGGGGCUAAAGUCGAAGAGUCACAAAGAUCAGGGACAAAAACAUGCAAAAUUGAAAAAGGUGGAAAAGCUCAGAUCUCCCACGACCCGGAAGCUUACUGGAAUCGAUCGGUUCAUGGACACCACGAUUGCUCGAUAUGAUAUCCUUGGCCUCAAGCUUUGAUCCUUCAGUCUCAUAUGCUGCAAAUCGAUUGAGACGUGGUGACUGAUGCAUUCGAUUCACUUUUCUUGACUCCGCCUGCAUCCUCUCGAGCAUGACGACACAUAGCCGAAGGUGGUACACGAUGGUGCUCUGGCUCUGGCGACUAUGGUUUUUGGUAGGGAGUUACUCUUAACCCAACUGGUUCCUCAUCAGCAGCAAAAUCCGACAGGGUAACUCAAUCGUCUCCAUCUCUACUUAAGGUACAGUAAAUAAUAUCAAGACCUGAAAUAUAAAGAUAAAUGAAGCGUGUAUGAGACAUAAUGCUGGAAAAUAAUUCACAACGAAAAAACCCAAAUUUGAUCGUCCCCAAUCAGAAUAAGGAAUGUAAAGAACAUAUGAUUUCGUCAUAUAGAUAAAAUUUAUAAUUGUACAGAGCCUAGAGAAUCCGGUGAGACUGAACUAGAGAAUCCGGUGAGAUCAAUUUUAUUUUGGAACAAGGAUUCCGACAGAGUAAACAAUGAAGUUGGGACAUAUGAAAUAUGAUAUGGUUGAUUUUGAAACGAUGAGUAUAUCAAUUAUAGUGUAUAGCCAUUAGGCUUUUAGGUUGUGUUGUAUGAUGAAUAGGGGUAAUAUGAACAUUUAAAAGACACAUCAGCGAGAAAAGUUGAAUUCAAUCUAUGCAAAUUAUGGAGUUAGUUUGUAUAGGGAAUGCAAUUUAUCUUUUAAAAAAGUGACAAGAUUAGUAAAAAAACAAGGCAAGUGCUCGCAUAUACAUAAAGUUUUGUAUUUUAAUUGUGCAUCACAUGUGAUAAUCAAUUUAAAAUAUGUUUAAUAUGGUAUUUUUUAAGAUUUGAGCUAUAUAAAUUUGGGCCGUCUUGCACGAUAUCAUAUUAAUCCUUAUUAGCAAAGCCUUCAAUUGUUAGAAACCGUACAUCUUUUUAGAAAUAUUAACGUCACGCAGUUGGAAAAGAAGACCGGCAAUCUUUAGGAGAUCCUUCGGCACAAAGCUGAACCCCUCUAUAGCUAUAUAGCACGCUUUAGGCAAGCAAAUAUUUCCAUCUCCAGAUGUAACACCAUAAAAAAUUUCCGCUUCCAAGAGAGGCAUGCGGCCUGGCAGUUAUCUGUACAAAGAGUUAACCAAGUAUCAAUUCGAAACUAAAGAAGACGUCAUGUCCCGAACGUUGGCAAAGUAAAAUGGGAAGAAGAUUCAGAAUACUGAAUCAAACAUUCUCAAAAGAAGAAAUCUCAAGUAGUAAGAAACAAUCAUAAACCAGGCAAAGAAGCAGGAGGAAAGAGGCAUGGGAGAUAUCAACAUCGAUCCAUAAACAAAGCCGAAGGAAUGACAGUAUCAACAUGGUCGGACAUCCAACGUCUCUAUCUCAAAUCCGGAAUUUGUCAACAUUCUGGGCAGAUAGAUCUAUAGGUUAAGUGGCCGCAAAAAGUGAAAUCCCCAGUAGCAUUCUAGAACACUAGCAAAUGGUGUGAGUUUAAUAAUGAACACAAGCAUUACGCGUAAGAUCAUCUCUUAAAAAUGGAAAUAAGCGAACUACUAGAAAAAGGAUAUCUCAGAGAAUUCCUCUCCGACAAAGCCAAGAGUUUCGUUUACAACAACGGAAAAAAAAAGUCAAAUGGCAAUAAUCACUUCUGAUUUGUCACCAUGAUAUGAUAGGAUAAUUGAUAUGGUGGUUCCAAAAUCAGCAGAAUCACACAUGCAACACAAAAACAUCACUAAUUGUUUGAACAUAACCAAAUAAAUUGAUGACCGGAGUGUAAGCAUGUAGAAAAAAAAUGGUUGAAUUGACUUUGUUUCUUACCUGUUUCUUAUCCUCUCUGGCACAAGCAAAUAAUAACCUAAAAAGCAAAUGUAAUUAUAAAACAGUGGGUAUAAAUAAAGCAAAUGCUGGUGGAAGCCUCUUUGGUCUAUCGGUUUGACCAAUGGUUCAUUAAUGCUUCUACACCAUGAGGUCUGGGUUUCAAUUCUCAGAGAAGGUAGAAUUAUGGGAAUUAAUAGAGAAAUGACUUAUAAGAGAUCUGCAGUAAAGCGCAAGAAGUACCGUCGAGCAUAGAUCCGAUAAGGCGUCUCAGGUGAUAGCAGUCAGACAUGAAUCCUCUCAUUACCCAUGUAGAAUUGUUGGCUGUAGAAUCGUUUGCAAUAUGUUAUAUCCAGCAUUAAAAAAAAAGCAAAUGCCAUUUUCUCUCACUUUUAUUUUAUUUAAUGCCACUGUUAAAAUUAACAUUUUAGAGUUGAAAACAGCCAUGUAAAUUUAAACUCCAAAGCUUUUCUGUAGUUAGGAGAAUUCUUUGUUUUUUUUGCCAAAUGAAAAUAUUUACGGGUUUUAAUGACCUUUUCGCCAGUAUACUAUUGAUUAAUAUGUCAAAACUCAAAAGUUUAUGAAUAAUAUUUUUUAAUGAAUACUAACAUAACCAAAAAAAAUAUAUUUUUAUCAAUAAGUUUAGUUUACUAAAAAGACUAGAGCUAUUACAAUAUGAAAUAUAAAUCUGUUUCAAUUCAGUCUAAAGCAUCAAUAAAUGUUUUUUAGAUUAACUAGAGAUUUUGCCCGGGCUACGCCCGGGGUUAGACAAAUAUAAAUGUAUUUUUUGUCGUAAUAUAAAUAUAUUUAAUAUAUAUAAUGCACAUUAUAAAGUAUAAACCAUAUAUUGAAUUAGAAAUGAGUAAACUAACAAUUUAUCAUUUUUACUAUCUAAAAAUAUAUUAAAAAAUGAGUAAAUGUGAAAUGAAUAAAGAAUAGUUAAAUCUAAAUUAUAAUCCAAACAUUUCUUAUUUUAUAUAUUGGAUUAUCAUAGAAAACAAAUUAUUAGUCAUAGGUAAAGUCAUCUGGUUGCGAUAAAAAUGAACCAUAUAUUACAUGUGUAAAAUCUGAGAACAUACUACAUCACUAUUCUAACAUAGUAGAUAAUCAAAAAUUUAUAUUUUUUGCUUGAAAUCAGUGAGCUUGCACUUUUUAUUAACAAUUAAGUUCUAAGUCACAGUAUUAGAAAUUCCUUAUGAUAUUUAGAAAUUCUUUAUGGUAUUUAGAAUCAAUAUGAGUUGAUGCCACUUAUUUUGAUGACUGCUACCCAUUUUAGAACAAUCCUCGGAAAGUAGCAAAAAAGGCCUCAAAAGUUUACAUCAACUUUUGUUUAAUGCUAAAUCUGAAGUGUUUAUAAACUUUAAACACUAUUAAUAAUAAAUAAUAACUGUAAAACAGAUUCUAUAAUUUUUUUAUGAAAAGGAAAAAUUAUAUACUUUAUUUUCACAUUCAUUACCAGUGAUUAUUAAUUUGAUUAUCUUCUUAUGUUUCAUAUUUUUAAGCAUAACUAUCUUUUUUAUGAUCGACCCAUGUUCAGCGUUCGUAUUUCUGUGUUUCUUUGUCAUCGAUUUCUUUGUUUUUCAUUCUCUUAUAGCCAUUAAUAGGCUAUAAACAAACAGACUUCUUUAUUUUUGUCUGCUAUUUUUUUAUAAUAUUUAUUAUGUGAUGUUUUUCCGAAGUUUGUGUGAUUUAUUAAUCUAGAUGGAAGUGAUAAUGUAAUUUUUGGGUAUGUACCUAUAUCAGAUGGGUUUGAUAUUUUUUCUGGUAAUUAUAUUAUAUUUUAGGUGAGCAAUUAGAGUGGACAUAUUUGAUUAUAAGCUAAUUGUGGGUUGCCAAAAAAAGAAGAAGCUAAUUGUGGAUGUGUUUUAUUUGUUUCUUUUUGUUCUUUUUUUAGUGUUUAAUGCGAUAUGUGUUAUUAUAUUGUUAAUAUUUCAUCUUAAAAUUGUAGUUCUAUAUUUUGUGCUACUCGGUGGUGUUUUUGGUUUGGUUGUGUCCCAGAACAUAGGAGAUGUUGUCCAAGAUUGAUUGUCUCUUCGUCUAUAGAAUAUAAAUGCUUGGCAUCUUUACAAAAUGUUGUAGUGUUAGAUUUGAGAAUAAUUAAAAACAGCUUUAGAUGCAAUAUCAGAUGCCAUUUAAUUUGACAAUAUAAUUUUUUCUUAAAUAGUUUCAAAUAUAUAUAGAAACAAUUGUUCACCUAAAAUUUGCUUGCUUUCUGUCGUCUCUUAUUGUCACUGCUUAACGAAAUUGAUAGAGCAAAUGUAUUUUCGGAGCAAUCCUGGUUACAUUGGUUUACAAAAAGGACAUUGGUUUUUUUUUCUUUUGCCUCUUUAGUACAAAUACGUGAACUUGUUCUUUGUUUUGCCUUUUUCUCUUUGCUCACCCGGUGAUUAGUAGAUUGAUUAUUUUCUCUUUAUGUGAUCUUUGUAGUGGAUAAGAUCUGGAAUCUUCAUCAUUGUUUGUUAGUUAUAAGUAUAAUAUAUCGGUAAUUCACGAAAUGAAUCUAGAUCCUAUCCCUCAAAGAUAUAAUUGAACUUGUGCAUAUCCAAAUCAAUCACAAAGUAGGUUGGUCAUGUCCAAAUGAUCAACACGCACACACACAUCAACAUUAGCACAAAGCUCUGAAAAUUAAAUGUGCGAUUAGUUAUUGAAAACUAAAUGAAAGAUUUGUAAUCUAGCCCGAAUUAAAUAUCAGAAUAACUAUCGUUGUAAAUUGUGAAAAAAAUUGUUUGUAGUAGAACUUAGCUGAAGACUCAAUAUUCACCAAAUCAGCCAUGAUCUUCGACCUUUCUCUGAAUGGAACUGUAGAUUAUCUUCUGAAUCAUUCGAUUUUCUCCAUUUUCGCAGACAUAAAUCUCUGCCAAAAAAAAAUAUGGAGAGAAAAACAUCCUAAGCUCGCUCCUGGUCAGGUGCUCUUGAGUCGCCACACUUAAUUAAACAACCUCUGUUUUUCCUUCAGCCAGCUCGUGUAUUCUAUAUCAAACACCACUUCUGCUGCUUUGCAUUGCAUUUCCUUAUUUGUUCACAAAUUUUCAGUUUUUUUAAUCUACGGAUUUUUCAGUCAUAUAAAUAAAACUGUUACGUACCAGAACUGAUAUUGCCAGGACCAAUGGGUAGUCCACGUUGCUGUUGAUCUCCUCCUAGGAGAGACACUCCAAUGAAUACGCCCUAACCAAUGUUUUUAAACCCGAUCCGGACACUGAACCGGACGAUUUACCGGAUCGAUGGGUCAUUGGGUCAACCGCGGGUUUAUAAAUGAAUUAAUUUUAUUAUAUAAUAAUAUAUUAUCUAUGAAAAUAAAUAAAAAAAUAAAGUUUA